rnacentral:misc_RNA from 1 species
CCUCCUUAUAACGAAGUUACACUUACAGAGUGUUCACACAAAUAAUUAAUUACGAAGUUUUAAGAGAGCUCUAACCCAUGCGCACAGUAUGUGCUCAUCAGUUAGGGUUUUUAACCCGGACGUGUAAACGUCAUGCUCUUUAACAAUUUGGAAAGCUGAUAAAAUAAGGUAAACAUUAUUGUUUAUUUAAUUUGUUAUUCAACAAUUUAAAAAAAUAAUUUUGAUUAUCACUGUAAGAGAAAACUCAAGCGUUAUUUAUGUCAAAACGAACAUGCCUAUACAACAUGUCUCGUUAAUAAAUAUGACACAAGAUGAUGCAAUCGAGAAUGUGAGAACAUUUAAGGUUGUAUGGUUAAGUGAAUAAGCGUAUACGGUGG